CGGGAGAGAGUGGAUGUUUUAUUUGUGGAGGACAAGAUCACUGGGCAAAGGGAUGCCCUAAGAAACGUGACGAGGAAAACUGCAUGACCAUCAGCAUCUUGGUCAUGUCGGGGUCGAGGAGUAGAUUUCCGCUAUCUGUGUACAAAGCGACUGCAGAAGAAGACGCACAUUUCUGCUGUCCGAUGUCAGACCAACAAAACGCACCAACACCGUCACAUCUCUGAGUAUAACAGGACUAAAUGUUACAUUCCUAAAUCCAAGUAUCCAAGUCGGUAAAAGCUGUGUUAUCUUGGCCAGAAUGGUGCUUUUUCCUGAACCUGGCUCUCCUAACAGUACCAAAGCAUUCUGGGAGGAGGUUGACUUUUGCAGGGCAUCCUUGACUUCCAGUAGGAAGUUCUGCCUAAGCUCAAAGUUCUGUGCCCUGCAAAAAAGAAUAAAUGAACCAAUUCAAUCAGUUGGGAGAUUAUAUUAUUACAAUGUUAUGAGAAAAUAACAGCAUGUGUUCAUUCAAAUUAAGCAAUAAAAAACAUACAAAU